rnacentral:rRNA from 1 species
GACGAACGCUGGCGGCGUGCCUAAUACAUGCAAGUCGAACGCUUUUUCUUUCACCGGAGCUUGCUCCACCGAAAGGAAAAGAGUGGCGAACGGGUGAGUAACACGUGGGUAACCUGCCCAUCAGAAGGGGAUAACACUUGGAAACAGGUGCUAAUACCGUAUAACACUAUUUUCCGCAUGGAAGAAAGUUGAAAGGCGCUUUUGCGUCACUGAUGGAUGGACCCGCGGUGCAUUAGCUAGUUGGUGAGGUAACGGCUCACCAAGGAAACGAUGCAUAGCCGACCGGAGCGGGUGAUCGGCCACACUGGGACUGAGACACGGCCCAGACUCCUACGGGAGGCAGCAGUAGGGAAUCUUCGGCAAUGGACGAAAGUCUGACCGAGCAACGCCGCGUGAGUGAAGAAGGUUUUCGGAUCGUAAAACUCUGUUGUUAGAGAAGAACAAGGAUGAGAGUAAAAUGUUCAUCCCUUGACGGUAUCUAACCAGAAAGCCACGGCUAACUACGUGCCAGCAGCCGCAGUAA